GUGGUAUUGGUUCCUAUUUGGGGUUGUCUACUUCAUUCACAAGGAAUGAAAACGAUGCUGGCAACAGCUACAUAAGUAGGAACAGGUUUUAUGAAUUUGUUGGGUUAUUUAAUUUUCUUGCCUGGUUUUGCCAAAGAUACAGGGUAAUGACUGAGACUGCUACUCCCCCUGGAGACGUUAAUGAUAAUGGUGCAACACUUCUGUUCGUAUAACCAAUUAACUGCACAAUCCGAGCUAUUGCCUCAUCCUGCAUAUACACUGAUUUAUU